GUCCAUUGCUAUGCUGGUUGCUUGGCUCUAUUUUACCUCGUAGCUGUCGCGAAGAAAGGAGGAUGCGGUCAAUUCUAGUUCACUGUGUAAAAGCUCGCUGUCCACACAAAAUUAUUAGCUUAGAAUUGCUCUCCAAGGACGGUGUUUUUGACUACCUUCUGCUUCAGAGGACCCGAAAAGACUGCGAAGUACUGUGCAGACACCCCUGAUCUUGACAAGAGGUGUAACAUUCUGAGAAAAUCACAAUUCAGGACUGAAUCCCACGGCUUUGUUGCAGACAGACAGUAGCUGAUUACUCACUGAUACACCAGAGGAGCAGCUCAAUGGCAGACACUGGGGGUCUACAGUAGCCUCAACAGCACUCUGUAGGGUAGCACCAUGGUGUGCCGGAGGACAGCUAGCUUCCGUCCUCCUCUUGGUACAUUGACUUCAAUACAAAACCUAGGAGGCUCUUGGUUCUCACCC
rnacentral:lncRNA from 1 species